UGUCACCCAGGUAGCCCCUGAACACACUGAGGUAAUGCACUACAUGGGAUGCCACCACCUCAAACACCCUUGAAGAUGCUCCUUGCUAUGGAAGCCAAACAGACAGACAGAAGUGUGUCUUCUUCAGGAUCUUCACCACCACCUUGCUAUUCUAUUAAUCUUCAGGAGAAACUGCUGUUACAACAGUCCCCAGCCAGAAGGAAUGCACACCAUAGCGCUUUGGAGGAAGUCCUGCAACCCCAAGAGCACGGCGAAAGACAGCCAGGAAGUGCCUCCUUGUCACAGCCCUACCAUCCAAGUGCACGAAGAGAGGGCCUUCUCCUGCUGGCCGUGCUGCCACGUAGGUAUAGAGAGCUUCAACAGGACAUAUCCACAUCUCUCUAGAGAAUCCCAGUUGGAUCAAAUGCCUCUCCUGGCCCCUGCACACACAAAGGUUUGCUCUCCCUUCAGCCAGGUGGAGGUCACUCAAGUACAGGAGCUCUGGCUGUGCUCUAUUUUGGUCAUUUGCCACCAUCUCUUCUAUAUGGAGUGCACCAAAAAAAGCUACAGUGAACAUGGCACGGAACAACAUACACUCGUAGGGAGAGCUACACACAGAUUCCAGAGUCCCCAGUAGAGAUCUUAACACUUCAAUGGUCACAGGAGCAUAUCCAUCAUUUGCGGGGGCAGUCCUACAUUUCAGCCUCGAAAUCAUGUGACAGAUAACAGGAUCUUGAAGAGGAUCAGGAUGAUUUACCAUUCCUGAGAUGAAGGAGAGUCCUUCCACAUACGUUAUUAUUUUCGUGGGAGGCAGAUCCUGGGACUCCAUGAGGGCCAAGAACUCUCUCACUUGAGCCACUGGGAUCGGCCAGACUGCAGGCAAAGCCAUGCCUUCUCUAAAGGCAAGGAAAUUCUUCAGGCCCUCGUAGUAGGUCUGCCAUAAGUGGUUAUCUCCAGAGUCCUCCAGCAACAGCAGAGCCUUCAGGGGCUGCGGGCCCAAGGGAUGCCUCUCAGGAAUCUGGCUGAGUUCAUCUGUUGAAAUAAAUUUGUAUUAGAAAUAGCAAACAAGGUGGUCUCACAGACAGUAUAGCAGACAAAUCUCUUCCCUUUCAACAUACUUCAGCUUUUGCUUGAACUUCUAGGAAAAAAAGCCUUUCCCAUGCAUUCUUAUGAUGCUCUUCUGCACUACUUUCAACAGACAGAGCGCAGGAGAAGGAUUACAUUCCCCAAACGAUAAACCCCUCGUGAU